AAAAAUUACUACAAGAGUCCAUGUGUUCAAGUGUUUGUGGUUGAUCGUUUUUUUUUGUGCUCAUUUUUCUUCUUCUUCUUCUUCUU
rnacentral:ribozyme from 1 species